UCGUCUCUGUGGGAGUGUCCCUCGGCGGGCUGGGGACAGCACGACUGCGGACACAAGGAGGACGUGGCGGUCGUGUGCUCAGGUGAAAGCAAAGAUGUACCAAGAUACAAUACCUCACUGCCGGGAAACCAGACUCAUGAACGCAACCCAGAGCUGGCGCUGCGCCUGGUGGGACCCAGUCACUGCUCUGGCCGGGUGGAGGUGCGGUUCGAGGGCUCCUGGGGGACGGUGUGUGACGACUCCUGG